rnacentral:rRNA from 1 species
GAUGAACGCUGGCGGCGUGCCUAAUACAUGCAAGUCGAGCGAACAGACGAGGAGCUUGCUCCUCUGACGUUAGCGGCGGACGGGUGAGUAACACGUGGAUAACCUACCUAUAAGACUGGGAUAACUUCGGGAAACCGGAGCUAAUACCGGAUAAUAUAUUGAACCGCAUGGUUCAAUAGUGAAAGACGGUUUUGCUGUCACUUAUAGAUGGAUCCGCGCCGCAUUAGCUAGUUGGUAAGGUAACGGCUUACCAAGGCAACGAUGCGUAGCCGACCUGAGAGGGUGAUCGGCCACACUGGAACUGAGACACGGUCCAGACUCCUGCGGGAGGCAGCAGUAGGGAAUCUUCCGCAAUGGGCGAAAGCCUGACGGAGCAACGCCGCGUGAGUGAUGAAGGUCUUCGGUUCGUAAAACUCUGUUAUUAGGGAAGAACAAAUGUGUAAGUAACUAUGCACGUCUUGACGGUACCUAAUCAGAAAGCCACGGCUAACUACGUG